UUUAUAUUUAAAAAAUCUAAAUUUACGAAAACAUUACUGAAAUGUUUCAUGUUUGAUCAGUAAUAUCCCCCGCCCCAAUCUUGAUCCAUCCCGUCACUGGGCCUGGGCCUCAUCAGACGUUGCUCAUUCGUCGUCCUUUUCAAGACCCCAGCACGUCGCUGGAGUCAAUAUGAGUAAAAUACUCCUAAUAUUAAAGCGCUUUCGUGUAGGAAGUUUCG